UGAGGAAUAUUGGUCAAUGGACGAAAGUCUGAACCAGCCAUGCCGCGUGAAGGAUGACGGCCCUCUGGGUUGUAAACUUCUUUUAUCUGGGACGAAAAAAGAUCAUUCCUGAUCACUUGACGGUACCAGAGGAAUAAGCACCGGCUAACUCCGUGCCAGCAGCCGCGGUAAUACGGAGGGUGCAAGCGUUAUCCGGAUUUACUGGGUUUAAAGGGUGCGUAGGUGGGUCUGUAAGUCAGUGGUGAAAUCUUCGAGCUUAACUCGGAAACUGCCAUUGAUACUAUAGAUCUUGAAUCAUCUGGAGGUGAGCGGAAUAUGUCAUGUAGCGGUGAAAUGCUUAGAUAUGACAGAGAACACCGAUUGCGAAGGCAGCUCACUACGGAUGUAUUGACACUGAGGCACGAAAGCGUGGGGAUCAAACA
rnacentral:rRNA from 1 species